GCUACAAAACGGCUGGGAUCCUGGCGUCAGCGCAUAUCAGCAGCAAAGAAAGAUGGUGAUGAUUCGCGAAGGUCAGAGAGCCAGCAGUGGAGGAGCCAUGCGACAUAUGAAGGUCCACACCACCAGGAAGAUCCAUCAGUGCCCCUACUGUCCUUACUCAACCCACUUUAUCACUAACUAUAAAAGACAUGUUGCUACUCAUACGGGCGAGAAACCCUAUGCCUGUACCCUCUGUUCUUAUAGGUCAUGUUCGAGAGAUCAUCUCAAACGCCAUAUGAAUACUCACAGUGGAGAGAAAGCAUAUGCGUGUACUAAAUGACCUUAUUACUCCUUGCGUAAUUAUAAUGUGGCAAAAGAUUUCUUUAUCAACCACAUAGCUGUAUAUAUAGGCACUCAGAUCAAACCUUAGAUUAACUUCAGUGAAAUAAUACAUCAUUGAAUAACAGGCACAAAUGUACAUAACCCUUACCCAUUAUAGCCAUACAAGUUUAAUGCAGUACUGCAUUUUAAUUAACAUUAAAUUUUUAUUGUGUAGUGUGAUUGCAGCAUUUUUUGUUUCAUUCUCCAGCAGUGCUAUAAGUCUUAUUUGAAAUGGUAACACUUAAAUUAGAGUGCCUAUCACACUUUUUAAGGCCUCAUAAAACAAAAUAUAAAUUCCAAAUAACAAAAAAUAUAAUAAAUAAAUAAUAGCUGUUGACCAGAAGGUACUCUUUCCAUGAAAACCUUACCUGGAGUAUACCUGAAGGGUGUUCCAGGGAUCAGUGCCCUUGCAACCCAUCCCAUGACCAGGCCUUGGGAAAAGCUGUAGAAUGAAGGGUCAUGAAUAUGUUUACUUCUUUGGGUCUUGAUGGUAAGCAGCUGAUGUAGUAAAAUAUAUUUUUUAAAGUAAGUGUAAUUUUGAUGUACAGUAGAGCCUUGGUUUUCGUUUGCCCUGUUUUUCAUCGAAUUUGGUUUUCGACGACUUUUUUCAUCAAAAUAUUGUCCCAGUUUUCGUUUGUCACCUUGGUUUUUGUCCGCCGUACCGAACGUGUCCGUGCACCAGCACCCACACAAAGCAUCCCAUGCACACAUUCUAAGUCAGCCUGGCUUUGUUUCUUGUCAAACGAACAGUACCCUGUGGGUUCAUACAAAACAUUUCAUAAUAAUCCAUUGUUUUUGUGCUUGUUUAUUGAGUGUGACUGCUAAAUAAGCCACCAUGGGGCCAAAUAAAGUUCCGAGUGCCAGUCCUUUGAUAAAGAAGGUUAGAAACACAAUAGAAUUCAAGAAAGAACUUGUAGAAAAGUACGAAAGUGGAGUACGUGUGGUCGAUCUCGCCAGGAUGUACCAGAAGUUCUCGUCAACGAUCAGUUCCAUCCUGGCGAAGAAAAAAGAAAUCAAGGAAUCUGAUGUUGCGAAAGGGAUAAGUCUGCUAAUGAAACAGAGAUCGCAAACAAUUGAAGAUGUUGAGAAGUUGUUGUUGGUGUUAUUUGUGGAGAAAUAUCACCCUUACAAAGCUGUUGCAAGCCGUGUCUGCAACACGUUCAGUGACAGUGCCGUAUCCCAUUUUAGGCAAAUCUUAAAGAGAAACCAGAAACAGACCUCUCUGGACAGAUUUUUUGUGCGACAGGGGUACAGUGACUCUCAAGCUGGUCCUAGUGCCAGUAAAAGAUAAAGAAGGGACUUGAUACCUGAAGUCCUUAUGGAAGGGGAUUCCCCUUCCAAACAAUAACCUCUCCUCCCUCUCCCCUCCUCCUUGUCUUCCAUACGCCAACAAGAGUCUUCAAUAAAGGUAAAGCUGAUUUAAAUGUUCAUUUAUCCAUUAAAAUUAGUGCUUUAUAUUUAUUUCUCAUUGUUUUCGUAUGUAAAACUAUAUUUAUUCUCUAUAAAAUGUAUUUUUUGUUAACAUUUUUGGGUGUCUGGAAAGGGAUUAAUUAGAUUUACAUUAUUUCUUAUGGAAAAUAUUGCUUUAGUUUUCAUCGAAUUUGAUUUUCAUCAGACUCUCUGGAACGAAUUAAAAACGAAAACCAAGGUUCCACUGUACAGCAUUUAACUUGAAGGUUUUGCCCUGAUGUUGAAACUAAUACAACAAUUGAAAGCCACCAUAGAAUUGUAUAUUUAUCUAAUACUCACGUAUGUUCCAUCUUUGGAAGUGCAGUGCAGUAUUUUGGCCUUGACCAUUCAGAUGUCAAAGUCAAACUCAGUCAGAAUAUUUACCCUCCUUAACCCCCAUUCUUUCCCUAUCGUCUCUUGAAAGUUAAAUGUUAUACAGUAUUUCCAAUUAUGCUUCAGAAAGGGAAACAAAAAAAUUUUGUGAACCAAAUAACUGCUCUAUCUACUUACCUUUGUUAUUGAUUUUAUGGUGUUGCAUACACAUUCAGUCAGUCCAAGUCAUUUAUUGAAAAAUAUAUUAGCAUUUCCAUGAAUAUCCAGUGGGUGGGAUUAAAUUAUGGAGAAUCAAAUACAAAAUGGGAAUUGGCACAGUUACUUUUUGCUGAUGAUACUGUGCUUAUGGGAGAUUCUAAAAAAAAACUGCAAAGGUUAGUGGAUGAGUUUGGGAGUGUGUGUAAAGGUAGAAAGUUGAAAGUGAACAUAGAAAAGAGUAAGGCAAUGAGGGUAUCAAAUGAUUUGGAUAAAGAAAAAUUGGAUAUCAAAUUGGAGAGGAGGAGUAUGGAAGAGGUGAAUGUUUUCAGAUAUUUGGGAGUUGACGUGUCAGCGGAUGGAUUUAUGAAGGAUGAGGUUAAUCAUAGAAUUGAUGAAGGAAAAAAGUUGAGUGGUGCAUUGAGGUAUAUGUGGAGACAAAAAACGUUAUCUAUGGAGGCAAAGAAGGGAAUGUAUGAAAGUAUAGUGAUACCAACACUCUUAUAUGGGUGUGAAGCUUGGGUUGUAAAUGAUGCAGCGAGGAGGUGGUUGGAGGCAGUGGAGAUGUCCUGUCUAAGGGCAGUGUGUGGUGUAAAUAUUAUGCAGAAAAUUCGGAGUGUGGAAAUUAGGAGAAGGUGUGGAGUUAAUAAAAGUAUUAGUCAAGAGGGCUGAAGAGGGUUUGUUGAGGUGGUUUGGUCAUUUAGAGAGAAUGGAUCAAAGUAGAAUGACAUUGUGAGCAUAUAAAUCUGUAGGGAAACGAAGGCGGGGUAGGGGUCGUCCUCGAAAAGGUUGGAGGGAGGGGGCAAAGGAGGUUUUGUGGGCAAGGGGCUUGGACUUCCAGCAAGCGUGCAUGAGCAUGUUAGAUAGGAGUGAAUGGAGAAGAAUGGUAUUUGGGACCUGAUGAGCUGUUGGAGUGUGAGCAGGGUAAUAUUUAGUUAAGGGAUUCAGGGAAACUGGUUAUUUUUAUAUAGCCGGACUUGAGUCCUGGAAAUGGGAAGUACAGUGCCUGCACUUUAAAGGAGGGGUUUGGGAUAAUGGCAGUUUGGAGGGAUAUAUUGUGUAUCUUUAUAUGCAUAUGCUUCUAAACUGUUGUAUUCUGAGCACCUCUGCAAAGAGUGAUUAUGUGUGAGUGAGAUGAAAGUGUUGAAUGAUGAUGAAAGUAUUUUCUUUUUGGAGAUUUUCUUUCUUUUUGGGUCACCCUGCCUCGGUGGGAGACGGCCGACUUGUUAAUAAAAAAUACACUACUGUAUACAUAUUGAUGGAAUUAAUUUUUAGAAGCAUGUAUAUACAGUGUUACCUCGAGUUUCGAACUUAAUUCAUUCCAGAAGGCUGUUCGAGUGCCGAUACCGAAUGAAUUUGUUCUCAUAAGGAAUAAUGUAAAUUAAAUUAGUCCACUUCAGACUCCCAAAAUUACACUUACAAAAACACUUACAAAAAUACACUUACAUAAUUGUUCGAGUUGGGAGGUGUUCGAAACUCAAGGUAACACUGUAUGUAUACACUCAUUGGUAGAGAAAUUCACACUAUACUGUAAUCAUAUAGCAUUCAGCAAAGGUGUUAGUGAGGCUGUUCAUUACAAGCACACUGCUAACUGAUAUUCUCUGUUUAAACAUUGCCAGCUGUCUGAAUCUGAAUUUUGAUAUCUUGGUAGUGAAAUGAUUAACCGUGACUAUUCAUUUGUCUCUUGUUUGAUUAAAGUUCCCAAGUUUUUGACCAUUCAUUUUGAAAAAAUUCUGAACAAGAGAAGGCAUGCAGAUACAAAUGGGUAGAUUUUAGGAAAGUAUCUGGAAUCUCAGUUUAAAAUAAGAAAAAUGUUCCAGUACCUGCUUUUUACUAAAGAAAAAGAUCAUUGUCUUUAAAAUACAGAGACUGCCACAUAAAAAAAAAGUACUGUACACCAUUGUUAAUAAUGUACUGUACAGUAUUUAUUUUUUUUUAACAUUCCGAACAUAUUUCCACCGAGGUUUAGCGACCCAACAAAGAAAGAAGCACUUUCACUGUCACUCAUUCACUCAUUGCCUUGCCAGGUAAAAUUUGUGCAAGUUUUACCUGUAUUGUUUACAGUGUCUAUCAUUUACUUAUCUAACUCUUUCUGCAGAAUGUGUGUUGCAAUAUAUGCAGGAAUGCCUCCAAAUGUGUUCAAGAUAUUGCACUUUUUUAAAUUUCUUUAAAAACUGCAUUUGAAAUAAAUUUGUGUAGGUGAUAGUGUCAAGGAUUUGUUACAAGUAAACAGUUCUGUUUUUGUUGUAGUAUUUUAUUAUCAACACAAAACUAAUAUUGACAGAAAACCUGCACAAAUGGACUACACUUAACAACAAUAAAAAUUUUCUCACUUGUAAGUUUAAAACUGCAAUAUACAGUACUUGUAUUUUCUUAAAUAUUGAGUAAAUUUUUGUGUCCUUUAUUAUAUUUAUGACCAGCCGCUUACAGCCAGGGUUGCCAAAUUUUUUUUAUCAGGAUUUUUAUACAGUGCUCACCAAAUUAUCUUUUUUAUUCAUCCAUAUUACCAUUCAAAGUUAUCAUAUGAUAAGCUGAUAAUUGAGAUGCUCUAAAUUACUAUUUCUAAUAACCGUGUUCGUUAGAGAUGUUUUAAAUAAUUAAAGGAAAAGCAAAUUUUCAUUCAGGCUAUGUAAUAUUUAAUGGUUAUCAGUUUAAUAGGCACAUCAAUCCUAAUUAUAUUGAAAAUAUUAUUAUUUUCAUGCUACUGGACUUUGUACCGUAGACAAACUUUAAGAGAUGUUAUGAGAAUAACUUCUGGACUUCUUGCACAAAUAAUUCUAGAAUAUAAGACUAACGAAGGAAAAAAACAUUCUAGAUUAUUGUAUACUUUAUGAUUAGCAUCAACAGUUACAUGUUAACCCUUUCAGUGUCGGUUCCAUAAUAUUACAGCUUGAGAGCAAGCAUCGGUCCCGUAAUACUACGCCAAAAUUCUAGCUCCUUCAUAUCUGGUGGAAGAAAGCUGGUAGACCUACAUAUGAAAGAAUGGGUCUGCAUGGUCUGUGUGCACAGUAUAAAAAGAAUCCUGCACCACACAGUGCAUAAUGAGAAACAAAAAACUUGGACCGUGUUUUGGGUUAAAACAGCGAAUUUGCAGUGCAUUUUUGUGUGGUAUUUAUGGUUGUAUACUCGUUUUCUUGGGCUCAUUUGAUAGAAUGGAAGAUAUAUUACAGAAAUGGAGAUGAUUUUGAUUGGUUUCACGAUGAAAAGUACCUUGAUGUGGAGCUCAAAGUAGCAGAAAUGUUUGAUUUUUGCCGAUGUUCAAGAGGAAACAAAUGACAUCAUUGUCUAAUACGUGUCCAACUGUCCAGUCUAAUAUGCAGUCACAGAUGGGUUGACAUUAUUUAUACAGUUAUUAUUAUAAUGCAGUAGUCUGCAUAACAGUAAAUCUUCUAUUUUAUGUGAGAAUAAAAAUUCAAAAUGGAAACCAAGAGUAAUAUAAGAGGGGCCUGGAGACAUGACUAAUGAACAGAAAAUGUUAUUUUAGUGCCAGGAACGUCUGCCUUGUUUAUUCUGGACCCUAUUUUGAAAUUUGUGUGAAAUUGGCCAAAUUGCCAAUUUCUGACCACUUUAUUGGGUAGUUAAAAUCGGUAAAUGGGUGGUUUCUUGUACUCGUCGAUAGAACAAAUGGAGUUCUAGGGAAUAGCUAUGAUUUUAGUUGACUGGAACAAUGGAAUUGGCCGAAAAUAGGGCUCAAAGUGGGCGAUAUCGCUGAUGCAUAAAUAUCGCCGGGAUCAUUAAUUUUGCAAGAGCAUAAUUUCGUAAGUUCUCCAUCAAAUUUCAUACUUUUGGUGUCAUUACCAUCAGGAAGAGAUUCUCUUAUCAUUUCAUAAGAAAAACUUUUUUUUUUGUUUUUGUUUUUGAAAAUUUUUCAACAGUAAGUUAAGGAUCAGGGGUCUUGACACUGAAAGGAUUAAUACAAUGCUGUUCUUCACCCAAGUGACCAUAUCUUUGGAAUGAUUCAACUUCUUACAAGAUUCUUGCUAAUUUAUACAUUCACACGUUAGUAAGGUACCAUUAUCAUUACUGUUUUCAGUUUAUUCCUGAUACAUGUUUUAUAAUGCUAAUUUUACUGAAAACCCUGUUGCAUUCUGCAUUUAAAUGAGCUAAACUAAAAACAGAGAGAGAGCAAAAUUUCCUAGACUACAGAAUUCUUAGGCUUUCUUUUGGACUGCCAUUCAUCAAAGAAACAUCACAUAGCCAUCUCAAGGCUAAGAGAACAACUCCAAACACCUGCUGCUCCUGUUUCUUAAUAAAUGGAUACCUAGGAAUUAGCCAACUUUUGUAGGUUACAUCCUUGGGAACAACCUAGAAAAAAAAAAGAGCCAUUGGAAAUAAGCGACACUGCUUAGCUUUCUAGGGUUAUCCAGGAUAAUUAACUGUCUAGGGUUACUAAUCACUCUUUACUAAUCACCCUUUAUCACUCUCUUAUUUACCCCUAUCUCACCUAUGGAAUUUGUGCAUGGGCUCAACAACAAUUAACCAUCUCAGACCACUAAUUCCCAACAAAAGGCUGCAGUUAGAAUGAUAACAAAUUCCCACUACAGGCAGCACACUCCACCAAUAUUCAAAACACUCAACCUACUCACCAUACAAAACAUCCAUACUUAUUAUUGCACCUAUUACAUACAUAGAACACUUAACUCUGAUAUUAACCCUCCCCUCAAACAUCUCCUUGCCAACCUCAACAGAACACAUGACCAUAACACAAGGCACAGAUCACUCUUUGAUGUUCCUCGUGUCCAUCUCACGCUAUGCAAAAACUCAAUGCACAUAAAAGGCCCUAAAAUCUGGAAUUCAUUACCUGUAAAUAUAAAAGAAACACUACCUGUUUAUAAAUUCAAGUCUCUUCUCAAAGAUCACUUACUCACUCAAAACCAAAUAAAUACUGAAUAACUGAACCUUAUAAAUUGUAUAUCCAAAAUGUUACUCACAAUUAUAUCACACAAAUGUUAAACCUAGGACCCAAUCUAACUUUGUUAUUUUUUUAAAUACACUACCUAACAGAAUACUCCAUUCUACUGAAUGUACAGUAAUGCAAGCAACCAUAUGACCUGUCUUUGUAAUACUCAUUUGUGCUUUAUAGUUAUCUGUUUACAAUAAUGUUUUAUCACUGAUUUCAUCAUUGCUUAGUUAAUCUUAAGUUAAUUUUAAGCCAGCCCGUAAUGCUAUGCAUAUAAGUGGCUUUGGCAUGCUGCUCUUACCUGUAUUUUUUGUACCUCUGUAUGUAUGCUUAAAUUACUAAAUAAAUAAAUAAAUAAAUACAGAAUAAGGUCUUCUUCCAAAGGUGGGCACAUUUUUAUGCAAUGAGUUCAAACCAAACCUGUUCUGUAAUUUGUUUGCAUUCCUGUUAUUACUAUUUUGUUUCUUUAUAAUUCAUGUUUAUUUAUAGUGAUUGGGUUUUUUUCUCUCUCUGGUCAAGUUCUCUGCUUUAACAGGAGGACUUGUACUUCCUAAUUGGCUAUCCAUUAAGCAAAAUAUUUGUAUGCAUAUGCACCAUAAUGACAGUCCAAUAUGGUGGUGCAGAUAUUAACUGCCAUAGUAUGGUAUUGUUUACGAUAAUGUUUUUGAAAUUAGAAAUGUGAUAGGCAUAAUAAAACAUUGAGAAAAGGCUCUUAUUGCAAGGCUCAUUCAGAUUACAUCACAGCAAUGUGCAUUUGUUUUGGAGCUAUCGAUGUAUUCAUUAGCGAACUUAGUGUAGGGAGAGAUUAUUUAAAACCUACUACAAAAUAAACAUGUGCCAAUGUGUCCAGCAUGAACAUCAUCAUUAGGAUUAGGAUCAGUCAUGUUCAAAGUUGAGUGCAGUGCUCCCUCAGACCAAGCAUAAGGUGAAUCAAAGUGAGCAGGCUUCUGUAGAAUAUCUAAAUACUCACUGGCUCUCUCUCAUACAUGAAAGUGUAUAAAAAAAAAGCGGUAAAUACUUCCUGAUUCAAAAUUUUAUGGAGAAUUACAGUAGUCUUAGUGAAAGAAUUAUUUACCUGACAGUAUGUGAAAAGUUUUAUACAUACAUACAUAUAUAUUGUACAUAUAUACCAAAGGUAAGAAGAAAGUUUAAAUUUUUGUAUACUGUAACAAAGUAUUUAAUGUACAGGUAAUAAGGCCAGAGUUUAUUUUAAGAGCUUUACUUACAGUUUAUAAUUUUCAUAUAAGUAGUUACAGUAAUAACGUAAUGUAGAAUGACUUAAUGAGAGCAUCCAUUUUUUUCUUUAUAAAUACAUUUUCAUACAUAUAUUUUUAUUAGCUUUCACAUUGUCAUUAAGACAUGUGCACAGUAUCUGAAAAUGUGAAUGUGUAAGUUGAUACUUAUGUGUAAGCACAGUUUCAUAUCCUUAGUUGUCUUACUGAAAUGAACGCAAUGUACACAUUCAGAAGUUGCCAAGAAAAACUUGUUAAAAUGUGAACCUAAGCAUUGGAGAUUAUGCAGAAUUCACAUAGUUAUUUAGAUAUUAAUCUAGUGGAGUAAAUGACACACAAAUGGCCCUGAUACCUUUAUUAAUGACAACAUUUUGCCCACUGCGUGGACAGGAAAGUUGUCAUUAAUGAAGGUAUCCUUUACAUUGAAGCCCCAGUAUGGUUCACCUUGCUGGUAUUUACAUACCAUUCUGGUUCCAUUAAUCUAGUAACUGGUAGAGAAUACUGGAGUCAAAGCUCAACAUACAUGGAGCUCUUGGUCCAAGAAAUUGGAGCUACUCUUCCCUACCUUGGAUAAAUCUUAUUACCUCCCAUUCCCCAGGCACUUUAUGAUCCCUAUGGGUUUAGCACUUCCCCAAGAACAUAAUAAUAAUAAUGUACAUAUGUGGAGAUGCUCUACGUGAUCAAGAAUUCCACUAGUUUGUGUGCAUACAUGAAAUUGGUUAUGCAGAUCAUUUUUAACAAUAUAAUAUUAAUUUUUUAACCCAUAAACGGUACAAACGUAUAUAUAUGUUCUUACCGCUAGCGCCCCAAGCAUAAAUAUACAUUUUAUUUUUCCUGCCUCCAAAUUUGACACAAUUGGCCUGAGAUGCCUGUUAAGGUAAGAGAUAAGAUAAGAUUUCGUUCGGAUUUUUAACCCCGGAGGGUUAGCCACCCAGGAUAACCCAAGAAAGUCAGUGCGUCAUCGAGGACUGUCUAACUUAUUCGAGGACUGUCAGCAUAGAAUGGGUCUUAACACUCGGUGUGCCCCAUAUUAAAAAAUCUGGGACCACUUAGUACGUACCUUGUGGGAGCGUCAGUUAUAUUGAGGGCCAGCUAGAGCAAACAGUGGGACAAACACCAAGGACUCACUGAUGUAAUGUCAUAUUAACACUCCCCUUUUAAGAGGAAAGUGAUGUUAAACCCAAGUUUAGGGUCUGUCUAUCUGUCUCACAGGUACACACAAAUACAAUUAUACAAAGUGUAAAUUACCUAGGAUAACCUAAAAAAUCCAAAGUGCUAUACUGUGCUUGUAGAUAUAAUGCAUAAGAAUACCUGUUGGUUCACAGUGGCUCUCUCUGAGACAGAGAGACAAGCAGAGAGAUGGAAAAAGACAAGCAGACAGAGAAAUGAGACAGAGAGACAGAUAAUCAGAGAUACGAGCUCAUCAAAUGUCAUCCCUUAUCUCUGCACCCUCUCUGGCACCCAUCAAAUAUCAUAGCUUAUCUCCUCUUGUCUCUGCACCCUUGCUGGAGCCCAUCAAAUGUCAUCUCAUAUCUGAUCUUAUCACUGCCUUCCUGGAUGCUUGUCACUGAACACUUGUCUUACACAUUGCUUCAAGGGAAUUUCUUCCUUCUUCCUUCUCCUCCUCCUCCUCCUUCCUUCUUCCUUCUUCCUUCUUCUUCUUCUAUACUCCCGUGUAUCCAAAACAUUGCUGGGACCUAUAAAUACUUUGUAUAUAUUCCUAGACAAUAGUAAAUGACCAAGGCAGGUGUAAAUAUCUACCUAUCAAUGUCUUUGUGAUAAUUUGAGUACAAUUUCAGUACAUAAUAUUAGUGUCAGAACAAAGAUUGGUUAUGAAAUAUCAAGAACUACAAUAAAUUGUAAUUAUCAGAACAAAAAUUAUAUAAAAUAAUAUAAAAAUGAGAAAAAAUGGUAUAUUGGCAACACUUCUGCAAACGGCAGGACUCUAUGUUGCCGUCAGGUGAGCAUUAAGUGCCAACUUUGCAACCUCAUAUCUCAGUAAGUGCUGACCCUAAUUUUUUUAUUUUAAUCAUAUAACACUUAGAAAAAUGUGCUCUUUAUUUUCAUUAAAAAAUAAUUUUUUUUAUUUUUCAAAAUAUUCGGGGCACUUGGGUAGUGAACCUAUAUAUACGUUUGGACCGUUUACAGGUUAAGUGAAUUUUAUCAUAAGCCUUAAAUAUAUCAUCUAAAAUUGGAACAUACGCUGAUACCUUGACUUACAAGUUUAAUUCAUUCCAUUACCAAGCUCGUAAUUCAAUUUGCUCGUAUAUCAAAUCAAUUUUCCUCGUUGAAAUUAAUUGAAAUGCCCAUUAAUCCGUUCCAGCCCCCAAAAAAACACCCCAGGAGCAAGAGAAAAUACUUCAGUAUAAUGCUAAUAUCAACUCUACAGCUUAUUUAUCUAUCAGAAUUGAUCUAAUAUGACAUAAUAAACACUGUAAGCAACAUAGAAAGAUGAUAUACUAUUAUACUGUAACUUUAGAAUGAAUAAAAUAGGCCAUAAUAUGGCAAAUGUCCAGGACCAGUCGGAGCAUAUAAAAUCAUUACUGCUCCUCCCUAUGAUGUUUUCUCUGGUCCUGGGCAAAAGAAAGCAGAGUUUUUGAGAGGCUAACUGCACUAGAUCACUAGUGCAGCGAUAUACGAAUAUCUCGGAAGUAAGUUAUUGACUUAUUUCAUGAAGCCCACCAUUUAUUAUUGAAGCAAAUGCAAUAAUAUUGACAGGAAUCAUAAAAAAAAUUACUGUUCUACAAUUGGCUUGUGGAAUAUUGGAAAUAUUUCAAAUAUUUUGAGAUUUGUGUAGGAGUAAAGGCAAGAUAUUUUGCAAAUGUCAAAAACUUAGCAACUUUAUUUAUUUUUUUUUUUUGUAGAAUAACUAAAGAUAAUUACACGAUUACCUCCAGUGAGAACAUCGCACUAGCAUUGUUUUAUAAGUACCAAGUCCCAAAAUUACCUUUUUUCGUUCAUAACUCAGAUUUUGGCUUACAACUCAAGGCAAAAAAUUGACCGAGCAACGGCUUAGAAAACUCGUAAGUUGGGGCACUCGUAAGUCAAGGUACCGCUGUACUUAAGUUCAUAAAGCAAAUUAUUAAUUGUUAAAUAGGGUACUGUUAUCUUAGGUAAUAUAGUAAAUCCAAUAAUUAAUGUUUUUCUUUAAAAGCCUGAAAGGCACUGUGAAAAAUAUUAAUAUAGUUAUUCAUAUUAUCUUUGCUAUUUGGGCAAGGCUAAACAAAUGUACACAGUAUGUACAUAGAUGUUUAAGUGGCAGUAUUUUAAUUACAUGACUGUACAACUUUGAGUAAGACGGACAUACCCUACAGGUGGUGCUGGGCCAUACUGGUCAGAGGGUCGGCAGUGGAGGAGCCAUGGGACUUAUGAAGGGCCACCUCAACAGGAAGCUUCACAAGUGUUCCUACUGUCCUUACACCACCCAUUGUUUUAUAAAUUACAAAAGACACAUCUCCGCUCAUACGGGCGAGAAGCCAUAUGCUGCGAUAACUGCUCUAACAGACCUAAUCCAAAUGAUAUGAUCUUCAGUGGCACAUUGAACUGUUGAACAUGCAUUGCAAAUUUGGAUGUCUUACUGGAAUUAAGACUAAAAUUAGUUAUUUAAAUAAUUUCUUUAUACCUGUAUCCUAUAUUUUAAGAGUGCCUCUUAUCUUUGUGUGUAACUGUGCUGGAAAAGCUUUUGACUCUUUAAGUAGUUGUGUAAUGGUAAGUUAGCUUAUUUUAAAUAUUGCGUGAUUAUUGCAUUAACUAGAUUUGUUAACUUUUAAAUAUAUUUUUCCUUAACUUGAAAAUUUUGGUAACAAAAAACUUUUUGUUAUCCCACAAUGAUACAUGUACUGUAUAUCGUUUUUAUAUGUUCAUUCACACAGUAUUUCAGCAACAUAGAUAAAAGUGUAGUUAUAACAGGUUGCAGGUUUACACCUGGUCUGCUUCCUAGUAUUAUGAGUGUGAGGCACAAGCAGUGGAUGUUUUAGCAAGGAGACUGUAGAGAUGUGUCUUGCUUGAGAUCACCAAUGGUGAAAAUGUAAAGUAGAGAAUAUGUUGAUGGGAGAAAUCAGAAACCAGUGAGGUGUUAUGAAAGUUAUAAUGCAAAUUACAAAUACCAAGGUUUGUUGAGAUAGUUUUAUGGUGCAGAUUUAAUGGAGUAAGAUCAAUUUUGACAGUGUGUAUAAAUAUUAAGUAGACAGAGGGUACCCUAGGAAGUGUUUUGGAGAGGAUAUGACCCUUUAAUAAGAGGAGGGGGGUGCCUUGAUGCUGGCAAAGGGUUCUUGAUACAAGAAAUUGGAACUACCCUCUUCCUUGAAUCAAACCUGACUGCCCCCUAUUUCCCAGGUAUUGAAUGACUCUUAUGGAUUUGGUGCUUUUCCAUGAAAAUAAUAAUAAUGGGGAGGAUGUGAAAAAGGGUUUUGUGAGAGAGGGAGGAACACAUUGAGCAGGUGUGUGUGAGCUUGUCUUUCUGGCUUGAGUGAAGGCAGUCAUGGAAUUUGACAAGCUAUAGGAGCAAAGUAAUACAGCAUCUAUGAAAGGAAUCAGGAAAGCAAUCAAACUUUACUUGAGGUUUGGAAUGUGAGAUGUACAUUGCCUGUAAUAUAAAACUUGAGUGUAGAGGCUGUGAUUGAUGGGUCAGCAAUGGGUCAUGGUGUCAGUACCCUUCAGGAAACAAAUAAAAUCUUGGAAACCAAAUGAGUUUAUGUAACUGUGUUGAACAUUACAUCUGUGUUGUCUUGAAAGCUGGAAUGUGAUAAAAUAACAAGCUAUGGUGUGUUGAAUCUUUUAAAUAUAAUGGCAAUAUUUCCACUCAUCUUUCAAAGUACAGGCACUAUACUCCCCACCUCCAAAGCUUGGCUUUUCAUACCUCUUCAUAGAAACUACUGUACUAUACUGAUGCACCAGUAGCAUAUCAGAGACAGUUUAUCUUUUCUUCUCUAUAACACAUGAAUAAACAUAGUACAUGUACUUCACUUUGCGGUAUACGUAUUCAAAUUUAAUUUGCUCCAAAAGUAACUUUGCAUCCUAACCUUACUAAACCUUUGCAUAACCUAAUAGAGCUUAAUUAUAUCUAAUGUAAGUGAGGUUAGCUAAAUUUUGGUUUAAUGUUGCUGUAUUUACAGUUAGCAUGGGUUUAAUACAUUUUUAUAAAUAUUGUGGUACAGUAUAUGUCAUUUUCAUGAUUUUUAAUAAAAUUUUUGCAGUUAAAGCCAAUACGAAUAUGUUCUCUUCAUAUUUGGCAAAAGAUUCCCUUCACAAAGAUUGCCAUGAUUCCUGUAACCGACUUAAAGAUUAUUCUGUGGUAGCUGAGUUCAAUUUUUUUUGUGUGUGUGUAUAAACGGAAUAUGGUGUGUGUUAUUUUAAGUUGUUAGUUGAAUCUAUUGAAUAAUUUAGUAUGAUGUUGACUGCCUUCCGUUAUUCCCUCUCCAGGAAACUUGGUAACCAUGGAGUAAUAAUAGAUGAUAAGAACUAUUAUUUAGAAUCAGCAUUAUGUAGGCUGUUGUUUUCUUUUUUGAUAAAAUGAGUAUGAGUUUCCAGUACCACAGAGCUAAUUUUGUGGAGCAGUAAAACUAUAGCAACACUUUUCCAAUACAUUUGUUGUGAAAAUAAGCAUGAUGUAAUAAUGUACUGUACUCAGAAACACAAGAUCAUGCAGUCACAAGAAUUACUCUCUCUCUACUUGAGUUGACAGAAUAACAAUGAAGGGUUGUUGAGAACCAGUUAAAUACCUGUCUUCAAAUAUUUAUUUGGCUUUUGAUUCAUGGCUGCUAUCCAGAAUUUUUCAGUGGUUUACUAGAUACUAUUGACUUUGCUUGUAACAUGCAAGUCAUUAGUGUACUGUAUUGUAUUACAUGAAGCACUGAACCUGUGUGGGCCAUUCAGCACACGGAGUGGUGGAGGCUCAAUCCUCCAUCUGCAAAUCACGACCCGGUCUCUGAUCUGUCUGGCUUUUGGUGAUUGCAGGUGACAGCAUUAUAUUACAUUAAUAAUAAUAAGCCUUAAACAGUAUAUAUGGUAACAUACAAGACCUUCAGUGUAAACUUGCUUAUGGGAGUCAGAAAUAUAAAUAUAAGGUCAUAACUCAUGUGUUAAGGCGUUAAGUAAAGAAAAAGUAUAUUUACCCAGUUUAUAUACUAGAUGUAGCAUCAAAUAGAUCUUGUUAUAAUACAUACCAGAGGGUUUAAAUCUUUGCUGAUAAAACUGCUUGGCUGAAAAAUCAUGGUAAUAUAAAAUUAUUUAGAAUAAUAUUGUGACAUAUGUACAUUAUUAAAUAUAUUAUUUUCAUGAAGUAUAGUUAGUAAAGUUGGUGAUACAUUAUUACCACUACAAUGUGUCAUUACAUACACACUUGAUGUGAUCAGUAGCCCUGAGGAUUAUGUUCUCAUAACACAAGGGGGGUGAGUGAGCACCCUAUGGGAUUGCUUGUGGGUAAGUGAUACUAGGCUAUGUUCGGCCUUUGUCAUCCUAGUACAUGAGCAGGCAUGCCAGGCCAAGUUCCUCAGUGCUAGGCUGGGUGCUUUUUUUUUUUUUUAGUGGAAUCAGUACCUGAUUGGUGGCCGAUUCGUGUAAAUGGUGUACCAUUUUAAAUGUUAUUUUUCAAGGUUAGAUAUUGUUUAACUAUGAUAUUUUAUUAUUUGAAUGUAUUCAUUUUUCUGGUUCAGAAGAGUAUUGGUUGAUUUUGUAUGUCUAGUAGUUUCCAGGUAUAUGACUGGGCACUGUUGUGAGGCUACUGGCUGUUCUUUUCUGUAUUAACCAUUACCUAAUUGCUUACUACAAUGUUGGUUGAUUCAUAUUCCUACCCCUUUUAUUAUAUAUAUUGUUUGAGCUUUGUUUUAUAAUGUAGAAAUUUAAUACAGCACAUACUAUAAAAAACUUUAUAAUACUGAUGACAGAAACCGAUGUUUUUGUCGACACUGAACCCUCCAGUUGCUGUACUUUGUGUUGCACUACACCUGGUGAGGCAGGUACAUACUAGAGUCAUGGCCUUGUUACAUAUCUCAGUUAUUCACACGUUAUGUUAGGAAAAUCAUCUGACUAAAUGGUGCAAAUUAUUCAGCACACUGGAGAAUCAGGGUAGGUAAUGGGUUAAAACACUGACAAGAUGGGCAGUAUUGUAGACAGGGUUUUACUGAUGAUGUUUAGCUAAUGCAUGGGUCUUUAUCAAGUGACUUAAUAAAGGCUCUUCAUGGGUGAAAUAUCAUUAGUAAAGCUUCCUUGUAACCGCAUUUGUGUCUACGUAUUUCUCAGUGGAGAAUUCUUUAAUAAUAGACUUUAACUGCAGGAGUCAAAACUUAUUGGCUAUUGUUCUAUUUCUCUUUCUAAGUUUUUGGUGAUCAGACACUGUUUCAGGUGUAUUUUAGACAAUAUAAUAUGGACAUAAGAUAGGUAUGAAAGCAUAAAUGGUUUAGUCCACAAUGCAGCUUUCAAAAAUGAGACAUUAUUGUUGCAUCUGUUAGAAGCAAGUGUACUCAUACCACCCCUGCCAGGUCUAGGAGUCCUGUAUCUUUUAUCUUUAACCCCUAAACAGUCCAAACGUAUAUAUAUGUUCUCUCCCCCAGUGCCCCGAAUAUUUUGAAAAAUAAAAAAAAAUAGUUUUUUUUUUUCAUUGAAAUAAAGAGAAUUUUUUUUUAAGUGUUUUAGUAUUAAAAUAAAAAAAAUAGGGUCAGUACUUACUGAGAGAUGAGGCUGCAAAGUUGGCACUUAAUGCUCACCUGACGGCAACAUAGAGUCCUGCCGCUUGAGGAAGUGUUGCCGAUAUACCAUUUUUUCUCAUUUCUAUAUUAUUUUAUAUAAUUUUUUGGUUCUGAUAAUUACAAUUUAUUGUAGUUCUUGGCAUUUCAUAACCAAUCUUUGUUCUGACACUAAUGUUAGGUACUGAAAUUGCACUCAAAUUGUUACAAACACAUUGACAGGUGGACAUUUACACCUGCUUUUGUCAUUUACUACUGUCUAGGAAUAUAUACAAAGUAUUUAUAGGUCCCAGCAAUGUUUUGGAUACACGGGAGUAGAGAAAGAAGAAGAAGGAAGAAGGAGGAGGAAGAAGAAGUUCUCUUGAAGCAAUGUGACAAGCAUCUGGGAGGGCAAUGAUAAAAUGAGAUAUGGGAUGACAUUUGAUGGGCGCCAGCGAGGGUGCAGAGAUAAGACGAGAUAAGCUAUGAUGUUUGAUGGGCGCCAGCAAGGGUGCAGAGAUAAGGGAUGACAUUUGAUGAGCUCCUAUCUCUGUCUCUGAUUAUCUGUCUCUCUGUCUUGUCUCUCUGUCUGCUUGUCUCUUUCUGUCUCUCUGUCUGUCUCAGAGAGAGCCACUGUGAACCAACAGGUAUUUUUAUGCAUUAUAUCUACAAGCACAGUAUAGCACUUCAGAUUUUUUAGGUUAUCCUAGGUAAUUUACACUAUGUAUAAUUGUAUUUGUGUGUACCUGUGAGACAGAUAAAAAGAGAUAGAGACAGAUAGACAGUGACAGAGACAGAGAUAGACAGACCCUAAACUUGGGGUUACCAUCACUUUCCUCUUAAAAGAGGAGUGUUAAUAUGACAUUACAUCAGUGAAUCCUUGGUGUUUGCUGCAUAGUUUGCUUGAGCUGGCGCUCAAUUUAACUGGUGCUCCCACAAGGUACUAAGUGGUCCCAAUUUUUUUAAUAUGGGGCACACCGAAUGUUAAGACCCAUUCUAUGCUGACCAAGCAUCUCAGGCCAAUCGUGCCAAAUUUGGAGGCAGGAAAGUUAAAACGUAUAUAUACGUUUGAGUUGCUAGCCGUAAGAACGUAUAUAUAUAUAUAUAUGUUUGGACCGUUUAGGGGUUAACCUGUUCAAAAUAAGGCUGAGCUUGCCUCUCUUGCCAAGCCUGAGACAUGUGACUUGUGCCAUGUGUAGCCAUGUAAAGACUAAAUGGAGUGUUAUUUAAUGGCUGUUGUUUGAUAUAUUUUACAUUAUUACCAUCAUAUUGUGUCUCGUGACUUUACAGUAACAAUAUAAAGAUUAUUUAAAAUAAUAAAAGUGCUUAUCUAUAU